UACGUAGGCAGCGAGCGUUGUUCGGAGUUACUGGGCGUAAAGGGUGUGUAGGCGGUUGUUUAAGUUUGGUGUGAAAUCUCCCGGCUCAACUGGGAGGGUGCGCCGAAUACUGAAUGACUUGGAGUGCGGGAGAGGUGAGUGGAAUUCCUGGAGUAGCGGUGAAAUGCGUAGAUAUCGGGAGGAACACCAGUGGCGAAGGCGGUUGCCUGGAGCUUUGCUGACGCUGAUGCGCGAAAGCGUGGGGAGCGAUCCGG
rnacentral:rRNA from 1 species